GAUGAACGCUGGCGGCGUGCCUAAUACAUGCAAGUCGAGCGAACGGACGAGAAGCUUGCUUCUCUGAUGUUAGCGGCGGACGGGUGAGUAACACGUGGAUAACCUACCUAUAAGACUGGGAUAACUUCGGGAAACCGGAGCUAAUACCGGAUGAUAUUUUGAACCGCAUGGUUCAAAAGUGAAAGACGGUCUUGCUGUCACUUAUAGAGGGAUCCGCGCUGCAUUAGCUAGUUGGUAAGGUAACGGCUUACCAAGGCAACGAUGCAUAGCCGACCUGAGAGGGUGAUCGGCCCCACUGGAACUGAGACACGGUCCAGACUACUACGGGAGGCAGCAGUAGGGAAUGUUCCGCAAUGGGCGAAAGCCUGACGGAGCAACGCCGCGUGAGUGAUGAAGGUCUUCGGAUCGUAAAACUCUGUUAUUAGGGAAGAACAUAUGUGUAAGUAACUGUGCACAUCUUGACGGUACCUAAUCAGAAAGCCACGGCUAACUACGUG
rnacentral:rRNA from 1 species